GAACCAUGCAAACGUUUUCGAAAUGCGAGCUGUGAAGGGUUUGAGGAAGGCUGAUAAUAUUUCACUUAUCCAGGGAAACCUUUCCAAUAAACUUACAAUUGCUCGUUUGGAAUCGACGAAGAUGACAAAGAUGUCUACUUUCAGAAUGAUGUGCUUCAAAAUCCAGUGAACUGCCAAUCAAGAUCGCCUCCAGGAAUCUCGACAAAGGGCGUCUCUGCUAUUUUAUUGAUGUUUGCACAUCAAACGUGAACUUCUGUGAAUUCAUCUUAAACCAUGCACAGUUGUUAUUAAAACCAGACCAAUUCCAACAAUAUGGAUGCAACACGCACAGACGAUAGCCUACAGCUUUCUCCUCAGAAUAAUCGGGGUUAAAGUCGAAUCUGAUGCAGGAUAUUGAACUGCCUUAAAUAAGCGAACAGUUUUAAAACACGGGGUCCAAAGUGACUCUUAGUAGAACGUACGCGUCGUUUGAGCCAAAAAGACGACUUCAAUUCAGUGACGAUCGAUCCUUUAAAAACGACGAGCGAACAGCGUGCAAAGAAUGAGGAUUAAAUAUUGCCUAUGAAAAACUUCCACCGAAGGACGACCGUACGACGACGACCAAAAGCAACGCCAUGCAAAGAAUGAGGAUUAAAUAUUGCCCACGAAACACGAUCACGGAACGACGAAGACCAACAACAACGCCAUGCAAAGAAUGAGGAUUAAAUAUUGCCCACGAAAAACGAUCACCGAACGACGACCGUACGACGACGACCAACAGCAACGCCGUGCAAAGAAUCGAUGAUUACAGUGCGACUACGAAGUAGAUGACCUGGCUUUCAAAGUUUGUGUUUCAUUUGUAUUUGGGGGCCCCUUAGGAAUUUUUAAGGUACUUUGCACUAUCCAGACUAUAUAUCUACUACGUAACUUUGCAGUAUUGCUGUGUUGGUAGCAUUUGCAUAACGCGCGCGGAGUUAGUUCGGUCAAACGUACAACAAGCGGUUACAAUAGGAAUGAAGGGUUGGGCCCCAUAAAUUUCGGACUAUAAGAAAUAUUUCUUACUUUAUGAACGUUGUAAAUAGAAAGUAAUACAAACACAAGUUUCUUAUAGGAAAUAUCGCUAAUUUCAUGAACAUUGUAAAUAUAAAGUAAAUACAAGCAUAUUUUCAUAACGCGGAAUUAGUUCGGUCAAACAUACAACAAGCGGUUACAAUAGGCAUGAAGGGUUGGGCCCCAUAAAUUUCGGACUAUAAGAAAUAUUGUAAUAAAUACAUACUUCAUGAACAGUGUAAAUAUAAAGUAAAUACAAGCACAAGUUUCUUUGAAACUUUAGAAAAUAUUGGUAACUUCAUGAACAUUGUAAAUAUCAAGUAAAUAGCUACAAGCACAAGUUUCUUUGAAACUUUAGAAAACAUUACUAACUUCAUGAACAUUGUAAAUAUAAAGUAAAUACAAGCACGUGCAAGUUUCUUUGAAACUUUAGGAAAUAUUGCUAACUUCAUGAACAGUGUAAAUAUAA